UAAAACAGCGGUCCCGUACGUUCACUAAAGUUAAGCAACAUCGAGCCUGGUCAGUACGUAGAUGAUUGACUGCUUGGGAAUACCAUGUGCUGUAA
rnacentral:rRNA from 1 species